AUCGCUUCUCGGCCUUUUGGCUAAGAUCAUGUGUAGUAUUGGUUCUUAUCAGUUUAAUAAGUACUUUGUGUUUAUUAGCUCAUUGAAUCUGACGGCAAUUCCAUGCAGUAUUGUACUAUUAUCAUCCCUUUUUAAAAGAUAAGAUGAGAGAGG
rnacentral:snRNA from 1 species